GAGUGUAGCACAGGCAUUUUAAUUACAUGUAAACAAACAAACAAAAGCUCAUGACUACAUCAAAAGAAUUACAUUAGUAACACACAAUCAAAGCUGAUUUCCAGUUAACUGUGAAAAAACUUGUGGGCCCAUCAGGAUUACCAAACCUGAAUCCCCUCACCAGAUGUCUUAGCAUAUUACCCUUGACUUAGGGAAGAGGAUAUUCAAAGUUGAAAUAGAAGUGGACAAAAUAACCCACAGACUUUUUUUAAUAUUUUGAUUUGAAGCUUGAAUAAUAUCCAGUAAUAGCACAUAAUAAGGGGGAAUUAUUAUAUUACAAAUAUUUCAUAAAGCACCCCACCACUUAAACUGCUAGAAGACAUCAUGUCCAAAAAAAAGAACCAUGACCUUAAGUUUAUUCGAGGAUCCAAAGAGCUGGGAAGAAUUACUAUUUAGAAAUAACUAUAAAUGAACCAUCUUCUAUUUGAUCCCUUU
rnacentral:lncRNA from 1 species